GACGAACGCUGGCGGCGUGCCUAAUACAUGCAAGUCGAGCGAGCGGAACUAACAGAUUUACUUCGGUAAUGACGUUAGGAAAGCGAGCGGCGGAUGGGUGAGUAACACGUGGGGAACCUGCCCCAUAGUCUGGGAUACCACUUGGAAACAGGUGCUAAUACCGGAUAAGAAAGCAGAUCGCAUGAUCAGCUUUUAAAAGGCGGCGUAAGCUGUCGCUAUGGGAUGGCCCCGCGGUGCAUUAGCUAGUUGGUAAGGUAAAGGCUUACCAAGGCGAUGAUGCAUAGCCGAGUUGAGAGACUGAUCGGCCACAUUGGGACUGAGACACGGCCCAAACUCCUACGGGAGGCAGCAGUAGGGAAUCUUCCACAAUGGACGCAAGUCUGAUGGAGCAACGCCGCGUGAGUGAAGAAGGUUUUCGGAUCGUAAAGCUCUGUUGUUGGUGAAGAAGGAUAGAGGUAGUAACUGGCCUUUAUUUGACGGUAAUCAACCAGAAAGUCACGGCUAACUACGUGCCAGCAGCCGCGGUAAUACGUAGGUGGCAAGCGUUGUCCGAAUUUAUUGGGCGUAAAGCGAGCGCAGGCGGAAGAAUAAGUCUGAUGUGAAAGCCCUCGGCUUAACCGAGGAACUGCAUCGGAAACUGUUUUUCUUGAGUGCAGAAGAGGAGAGUGGAACUCCCUGUGUAGCGGUGGAAUGCGUAGAUAUAUGGAAGAACACCAGUGGCGAAGGCGGCUCUCUGGUCUGCAACUGACGCUGAGGCUCGAAAGCAUGGGUAGCGAACAGGAUUAGAUACCCUGGUAGUCCAUGCCGUAAACGAUGAGUGCUGAGUGUUGGGAGGUUUCCGCCUCUCAGUGCUGCAGCUAACGCAUUAAGCACUCCGCCUGGGGAGUACGACCGCAAGGUUGAAACUCAUAGGAAUUGACGGCGGCCCGCACAAGCGGUGGAGCAUGUUGUUUAAUUCGAAGCAACGCGAAGAACCUUACCAGGUCUUGACAUCUAGUGCCAUUUGUAGAGAUACAAAGUUCCCUUCCGGGACGCUAAGACAGGUGGUGGAUGGCUGUCGUCAGCUCGUGUCGUGAGAUGUUGGGUUAAGUCCCGCAACGAGCGCAACCCUUGUUAUUAGUUGCCAGCAGUAAGCUGGGCACUCUAAUCAGACUGCCGGCGACAAAACGGAGGAAGGAGGAGAUGACAUCAUGCCGUCAUGCCCCUUGUGACCUGAGCUACUCACGUGCUUCUAUGAGCAAUACAACGAGAAGCGAGGCUGCGAAAGCAACAGGAUAUCUUAAACCUGUUCUGAUUUCCGACUGCAGUCUGGACCUCCACUGCUCGAAACUGGAAUCGCUAGUAAUCCUGGUAUCGGAAGACCUCGUUUGAUACUUUUCCUGUCCC
rnacentral:rRNA from 1 species